rnacentral:rRNA from 1 species
UACGGAAGGCAGCAGUGGGGAAUAUUGCACAAUGGGCGAAAGCCUGAUGCAGCUAUGCCGCGUGUAUGAAGAAGGCCUUAGGGUUGUAAAGUACUUUCAUCGGGGAGGAAAAACAAAACUAAUAAUUUUAUUUCUUGACGUUACCCGAAAAAGAAGCACCGGCUAACUCCGUGCCAGCAGCCGCGGUAAUACGGAGGGUGCUAGCGUUAAUCAGAAUUACUGGGCGUAAAGAGCACGUAGGUGGUUUUUUUAAAGUCAGAUGUGAAAUCCCUGGGCUUAACCUAGGAACUGCAUUUUGAAACUGAAAUACUAGAGUAUCGUAGAGGGAGGUAGAAUUCUAGGUGUAGCGGUGAAAUGCGUAGAUAUCUGGAGGAAUACCUGUGGCGAAAGCGGCCUCCUAAACGAAUACUGACACUGAGGGUGCGAAAAGCGUGGGGAGCAAACAGGGAUUAGAUACC